rnacentral:lncRNA from 1 species
UAAUCGUCUUUGCAGCAUCUGUCUUCAACCUCUUUCUCACACACUCAGAGUCUCUGACCUUUCUCUCUUGACCAUAUUCGGCUGCAAUGCCCAUCUCUGGUUUCUGGAGAGCAAAGGUAGGAAUUCUUUCCGCUUGUAACAGUUUCUUCUUUAUGAAUGAAAUGCCUUCGUUGGAUUAAAAGAAUAAUUCCUAUUUCUGGUACUUGGGCCCAACUUCACAUCUGAGUUAGGGCUUUCUACUCAAGUUUUGUCUUUGUAAUCCACCUCCCAUUGCGUGUAGAGGAACGGAGAGCUCUUGUAGUUCAGGCACUUUGGCUUUUGUAGAUUCUCAGUUUGCAUUGCUAAUAGCCUCCAUGUCUUAAAGCAGCAGCAGAGACCAAAGUGUUCAAGCCAUCACAAAAGCAAAGACCAACAGUGUGCACGCCUCCCUGAUUUUCAGGUUCCGAUCUCUGUUCCCUAAUUUCAUUAUCUCACAUUACCCCCAGGGUUGGAUUUCUGUCCUCACUUGUUUUACAUACAUAGCUAGGUGAAUUAAGAUAUUACUCAUAUUAGGAGCUUAGAUAAUAACUCCAGGGAAAGAGCUUGCAUUUGAUAGCCUUCAAUUUCAAGAUUACAACUUUGAUCUUACACAAGGGAAAAUCAACACACUUUUAGAUCUUACAUUUUGUUAUUCAAACCCACAAGGCUAAUUGUUCAAAACAUGAAAGAAAGACAAGAUUACAGUGUGUAGAAACUAUAUGACUUGCCAGAAAUGGAAGAUCAUUUUGGCAAUUCGGCUUCACUAGUUGUAGGGACCUUCUCAUAUGAACCCAGCUCUCUCAACUUCUUAGGAAGAAAGCAACGACCCCCGAACUUCUGUUGCAAGAAGAUUAUCACAGCAAACAGUAGGCAUCCAAUAGGAAUGGUGACAUCCCAAGAAGUAGAGUAGAAGUCUGCGACAGGACUUGCAUAAAUGUAUGGGAUACCAUGUUCGUGAUGAACAGAGUUGUCAGUCCUGUAAAGGUCAUAAGCAUGUGGCAGAACUCGAACCGAGGUUGUCCCAAUGUAGAACCAAACAGAUAGAGCUCUUUCCUUUGAUUUGCAGACCAUGUUGAGAAGAAUUUGAGCAAACAGAAAACCAUCCAAGACCAAACCAGCAUAGGAUUUCAAGGUACCCAAAAUGGUAUGUACAUGAUUGCUAGAUUUCAUUAGAAGACCCAAAGUAACUAAAACCCCAAUGGCAUACACUGGUAAAGCCUUCUUUUCCGCAUCCCAAAGUUCAUUUUGCUUCCCAUUUGCUGAUCUUGCUGACCAACUCUGCUGCAGAAGACGGAAUUGCAGCAAGAAAGCUACCAUCGUUACUAACCUUACAAUUAUCUCAUUAACUUCAAGCCAUCCACCACUUCCCAGUAACACAUCUUGGCGGUUGGUGUUGUGAGUGAACAUGGCAUCAAAAUUUAGCAUAAGAGGUAUCAUGUAGCCAAGGGUCAGAAUUAAUAGCAUUAAGAUGGAAAUAGAGGGAAGCACAUCAGGAUGUUUUUUCACAUGGAAGAGUUGUACUGCGACAAAAACACAUGCGAGUGUUGUUGAUAUAAGAACCAAUGUGAUCUCCAUAUCCAUCCUCCAAAUGGAUCGUUCUGCUUCAAUCAGGUAAUCAGCAGCUGAAUUUAAAGCCAAUCGCUCGAAAUGAAGAGGAUCAGACUUUUUUCGUGUGCUUUCAAUGCUUACCUCAAUAUAACCUGUAUUGUUACUGUGUUGAUUUGUUGGAGGGAACUGAAAAUUGACAAGAAUCUCACAAUCUACAGAAUCUUUAGUGGUCUGUUGAUUACUGUUGAAGCCAACAUCUCGACAGCCUGUCAUGCACAGGCUUCCUUCUACAGCAUCAUAGAGCCCUUCUGCUGAAAUCUGCAUUUCCUUUGUUUGUAUUGUAUGGCCUGACUUUCCAGCAGAUUUCUCCAGCAGUUCGAUGUUUAUUCUGUAGCUAAUAUUGGUGGGGUUGCUACAGUUGUAGCUGUAUCUCAUCACAGGAAAGGAGCUCAAAGGAGCUAGAGAGUACCUUACAUCUCCAAUUGCAUUUGAAUAUUGUGUUGAAGAUAAAUACUGCUCAUAGAACUGAUUGCCAACAGAAAGAGGAUCAGAAUUUCCCCAUGCACCUUGUCCUUUAGAACUUUUUGCUGACAUAUCGAAUUUCAUGUCGUAAGAAAACGGACUUGGGUACAUGUUUCUCUUCUGAUCAUUAGCAGCAGACUUCUUUUUUGGGCACAACUUAGUUACCUGGUCUAUUUUAGUAUACACAUAUUUUGGCCCUGGAACUAGAACCCUUCCCGCCUCACUCUGACGAGUUUGAAAUGUGAUCUUGUCAAAGUAACCUGACUCAGUCUUGGAUUUGCUGCUCCAAAUAUGCCCCACGACACUACUAGUGUCUCCGAUUGUCCAUAUUGCAGGAAAUCUCAUGCUCAAUCUAGUUGAACAGUCAUCCACAUGAGAAUUGUUGAAAGAAUCUGUUACAGCCUGGAAGAAUUUACAAGCAGCAAAUUGUAUUCGACUUUUUUGUGCAUCCCAUGAGCCUUCCGCGAUGAAACUUGUAUUGGGGUUGAAAGGCCUCUGAUACCAGUUGUUGCUACUGUCUGAAAAUUCCACCAGUACUCUCAACCUUCUAGUAUACUCUGUACACUCGAUAUCCUUGAACGACAGCAGACGGGGCAAAUGAUCAGAUACGCCAAGUGGAGUGCAGUUCUUUGCAGAAACGCACUGGCUUGAAUAUUUGAGAUCAAAUUCAUACUUUAGUACUACUGUUGAGAGUUGUGAACAAAAUCUCUCCAAGUGCAAAGAACUAGGGGGAUCAUGAUCAUCAAUUCCAACAGAAGAGCUGUUAUCAUUAGAGUUAUUUGAAACCCAAGUAUACUGGUAGUUCAUCUGAGGAAGCAACAAAAUAGAAAUUGGAUCAAAAUAUUUUGCAUCCUUGAUCAUAUCAGAACCGCUGAUCAAACUCUCUAAUGUUCCAGUAAUCAAACUUGUAAUAUUAGUGGAAUUCAUGACAUUAUAGAGCUUAAGAACAGCAGGAUAAUGAAGCAUAGUUUUCCAGUAAGUGUGACCAUAACCAACCAUACAAAGCUUCCCAGAAGAUUCUGACCAGAACCCGUUGAGUCUAAAGCUAACUGACCUUUGAUAUGCUGGAUUUGAUCGAGUCCUGUAGCCUGGAUAAGGCUGGCUGCUGCUGGAGUUUCCUACAUAGUAUAACAUACUCGCCUUUUCCACAUGAAGAGUUGCUCCUAACUUGAACAAGCCUUCCACAUCAGUUGCUUCAAAAUUCCAUUUGCUGAAUUCAAUUGAAUUACGAACUUGUUGAUGGUAAAACGAUGAGUUGCCAUUAGGACUAUUGGCAGUGUCACCAGCAGUGUAGUAGUAACCUGUAUGGCUGAAGGCAAAGGGAUGAAGUCCUCGAUAUAUUUUUGAGUUUGCUUCAGGAACAACUGAAGCACAGUGAUCCGCAUAAGCGAGUUCAUCGUGUGAAACAGAGGAUGAGAUUAAAUUCAAUGAUAGGGAGGUGAAAGCAAAGAAGAUCAUGACAACUUGACAAGCUUUGGCUUUCUGAGGAUAGUCAUAGCUUCUCUGUUAGUAUUUAUGUUUUGGGAGAACGGGAGAAGAAGAACAAUAGGCAAUGCAGUUUUGAAAGGUUGUGAUGGUUCUUAUGUACUAAAGACAGUCUGAAGUACCAGGUCAACCUUCAUCCACUACUACCUAGUAUUACCACAGUCCAGAAGUUAUUACUGAUAGUUUAGAUGAAACCAAUAGACCUAUUUUUUACUUUCCCCAAGUUAAUUUCAUAACAAAAAAUUAAUCAUUUUUCAAGUCUAGUGUAAAAAACAUUUACCCCAACACAGUGAGUACAUUAACCUUUACCAAGAAGGGCUGUUGGGGACGCAGUCGGGACUGCCAUUCCUAUUUUGUUACUCACCAAGAUAAGUGUGAUUAGGGUAUAUGGAUUCCAUAAGACUCAAAGAUGAUAGCUUACACAGUAAUGAUAUUUUGUCAUAUCUUGGCCCUUGUAUUGGUUUGAACUUUAAAGAUUCCAAAGUUAUCAUAGGAUUUGUAUCAUCUGGUCAGCUGGUCUUAUCCCAAGUCAUCAUAACUUGGAAAAUGUUGGCAUGACAAUACAUCGCUAGUAGCUUUCAUUUGGACCAACUUAGGGUCAGUAGUCUAGAUUGAAAUUCUGAUAUUAUUUGUUCAAGCUUAUAAUAUGUUCAGUAGCAUAACUUCUUAUCAUCCUUUUCUUUUGUCUUAGCAUACAGAAUAAAAGUUGUUUUCCUUGCAAAUUUUCUUGUUUCUGUGAAGUAAACAGAGUGCAUAUGUUAAAAGGUAGAGUCCAAUGGCAGUUCUGACUUCUGAGCAAAGAGUAUGAAAGAAAAACAAAAUGACUAGACUUUGACUGACUCUAGUCCAAUUGGAUGAGCAGAGCAUAGAGGUUGUUGAUAUUUUCCUUCUUGUCGAUCAAUCCCAUAAACUUGUUCUGAGAAGUUUCCUUGUUUUUGGGUCCAUAACAAAGUACAUAUACCAUUGGUAACUCCGGUGCUUUAAUUAUUUCAAUGCCUCUAAAUGUAACUACAAAACAUCACCAAAGUAUUAUGCUGAAUUUGAUGCCAUAUGUAUAUAGUAAUAACCCAUGUCCAUAUUGGUAUUGGUAUUGCUGUCUCCAUCUUAGUACUAUCUUUCUCAGGAAGCUCAGCCCUGAAUGAGUUUAAAGUUGUUAUAUCAUUGCUCAUAUAUUAAUGUUUCCUAAAGCUCAACGACUACAAAAAGAAAAGAAAAGAAAGUAUACACGAAAUGGAAAAACGCAUGCUGAAUAAGAUGAACUGAUGGAUUUAUAUCCUGUUUCAUUAUCGUAUUAGUUCCUUAGUUAUGUAACUUGUAUUUUUGCAUUGCUUUUUGUUCUUGCUUUUAUUUUAUUUGAUGUAUCUUUAAAUCUUCCAGUACGGAUAUAUCCACACACAAAGACACUAACAUGAUCGCCAGUAAGCAAAACUAGCAUCUCAUAAUCUUAAUUUGUUCAACCACCUUGUGUUUGAAUUAUUCUGUUUCAUUCUAUGCUGCAGCUAUUCAAGUCCUUCAUGGUCACCAUUGCAUCUCAUUUCUUCCUGAAUCACCUUGUUCCAAUGGCAGACAAAUAAUACUACACUGGUGGUGACAGGGGCAUUGCUGAGCUCUGAUCUGCCUUUCCAGAUAAAUCAAAUUUCCAGGUACUUUUUCGAGUUUGCUUGCCUCUUUGACAGUAUACAUUAAAUAACUGGCAUAUGGAUUUUUGCUCUUCACUUUGUAUGUAUUUAUUUGCUUUAUAGCUAAGUGCAUCAAGUUUAGAAUAAAACUUGAGUAUUCAAUCAACUAAGCGCCUUCCUAAUUAGUCUUACGUUGCCACCUAAUAGUUUCAACUGACUUUGUUGCGUGAGGAUAGUUUGAUAUCAUAAACUUUUGAAAUUAGAAGGUUUCUAUUAUACGAGAUAAAAGUGGAAGUGCAUACAUUAAAGCGGAUAAAACUAAAAGGCUUAAAUCUUACAUUCUUCUUUUUCUUCAAUAUACCAAAAGCCUAGGCAUUUUAAAUAGGAAAGGAAACAAAGGGGUCCAGAUAUGAAGUCUGUCCAAUUCUGUCAUUGACUAUGAUUGAGCUUCCACUGACCAUGAAUACCAGAAAUGGAGUGCUACACUAGAAUACUAGAUUACCUUGGCAACUCAUCUUCGCUAACUGAAGGGACUUCCUCAUACAAACCCUGCUCUCUCAACUUUUUAGGAAGAAAGCAGCGACCCCCAAACUUCUGCUGCAAGAAAAUGAUCAGAGAAAACAGUAGACCUCCAAUAGGAAUAAUUACAUCCCAAGAAGUAGAGUAGAAAUCUGC